GUGUCAGCAGCCGCGGUAAUACGGAGGGUGCAAGCGUUAUCCGGAUUCACUGGGUUUAAAGGGUGCGUAGGUGGGCUUGUAAGUCAGUGGUGAAGUCUCCGGGCUUAACCCGGAAACUGCCAUUGAUACUAUAGGUCUUGAAUUAUCUGGAGGUCAGCGGAAUAUGUCAUGUAGCGGUGAAAUGCUUAGAUAUGACAUAGAACACCAAUUGCGAAGGCAGCUGGCUACAGGUUGAUUGACACUGAGGCACGAAAGCGUGGGGAUCAAACAGGAUUAGAAACCCUCGUAGUCC
rnacentral:rRNA from 1 species